GACGAACGCUGGCGGCGUGCUUAACACAUGCAAGUCGAACGGUGAAGCGCCUUCCUUUUUGGUGGGUGUGGAUGAGUGGCGAACGGGUGAGUAACACGUGAGUAACCUGCCCCCUUCUUCUGGAUAACCGCAUGAAAGUGUGGCUAAUACGGGAUAUUCUGGGUCUGUCGCAUGAUGGGUCUGGGAAAGAUAUUGUUUCGGUGGGGGAUGGGCUCGCGGCCUAUCAGCUUGUUGGUGGGGUGAUGGCCUACCAAGGCGGUGACGGGCAGCCGGCCUGAGAGGGGGGGGGGCCAAAAGGGGACUGGACAACGGCCGAGCGCCGAAGGGGGGCAGGCGGGGGGAAUUGUAGCAGAAGGGGGGAAGGCCUGGUGAACCGCCGCCCGGUGAGGGAGGGGGGCCUUGGGGUGUGAACCCUUUUCCGCGAGGGAACAAGGCCCGCCUCUUUUGUGGGGGGGUGGAGGGUAGGUGGAAAAGAGGCGCCGGCAAAUUCGGUC
rnacentral:rRNA from 1 species